rnacentral:rRNA from 1 species
UACGUAGGUGGCAAGCGUUGUCCGGAUUUACUGGGCGUAAAGGGCGCGCAGGCGGCUCAUUUUGUCAGGCGUGAAAGCCCCGGGCUUAACCUGGGAACUGCGUUUGAUACGGAUGGGCUAGAGUUCGGGAGAGGAGAGUGGAAUUCCCAGUGUAGAGGUGAAAUUCGUAGAGAUCGGGAGGAACACCUGUGGCGAAGGCGGCCGUCUGGGCCGACCCUGACGCUGAGG